UGCGUAGGCCGCGCGGAGGGUGGGAUGUGAAAUCCCCCGGCUCAACCGGGGAAUAGCGUCCCAAACCGCCGUGCUCGAGGGAGACAGAGGUGAGCGGAACUGAUGGUGGAGCGGUGAAAUGCGUUGAUAUCAUCAGGAACACCAGUGGCGAAAGCGGCUCACUGGGUCUUUCCUAACGCUGAGGCACGAAAGCUAGGGGAGCGAACGGGAUUAGAUACCCCGGUAGUCCUAGCCUUAAACGAUGAGCACUUGAUUGGAGGAAUGGUCACGUUCUUCCGGUCGUAGCGAAAGUGUUAAGUGCUCCGCCUGGGGAGUAUGGUCGCAAGGCUGAA
rnacentral:rRNA from 1 species